AGUGAACGCUGGCGGUAGGCCUAACACAUGCAAGUCGAACGGCAGCACAGUAAGAGCUUGCUCUUACGGGUGGCGAGUGGCGGACGGGUGAGGAAUACAUCGGAAUCUACUUUUUCGUGGGGGAUAACGUAGGGAAACUUACGCUAAUACCGCAUACGACCUACGGGUGAAAGCAGGGGAUCUUCGGACCUUGCGCGAUUGAAUGAGCCGAUGUCGGAUUAGCUAGUUGGCGGGGUAAAGGCCCACCAAGGCGACGAUCCGUAGCUGGUCUGAGAGGAUGGUCAGCCACACUGGAACUGCAACACGGUCCAGACUCCUACGGGAGGCAGCAGAGGGGAAUAUUGGACAAUGGGCGGAAGCCUGAUCCAGCCAUACCGCGUGGGUGAAGAAGGCCUUCGGGUUGUAAAGCCCUUUUGUUGGGAAAGAAAAACAGCAGGUUAAUACCCCGCUGUUCUGACGGUACCUAAAGAAUAAGCACCGGCUAACUUCGUG
rnacentral:rRNA from 1 species